CUUUGCUGAGUUUCUUUUAUUCCCAGGAUCUUCAUUUGAAGAUUGGAAAUAGUGGUAUCUAAUUUGGCAGGGACAUUCAGAAGAAACAGCCAUAUCAUGUGUGGUUCUGAGCAUAAGGUCCCACAGGUCUUAGAAAGCCCAGGGCUUGAUAUUUACCAUUCACUGGCUCUACACACAUGGAGAUCUGCAAGUGGAAGCCACAGCAAAAGAAGAAAGUGGAGUUCAGCACCUCCCAGCAGUCCUGGUGUUUCUGGAGGACACACUGAGGUUGCCCUUUGAUGGUUGCUGGGUGGCUCUUUAAGGCCAGCAAGGCAAGAGGCAGCACUCACAGAGAGUCCUGACCUUCACAGAACUUUUGCAAAGGAAGCCAGAGCAUGCCCCAUCUCUGAAGGUCUAAAUUGGGUGAAGUUUCUUAACGGUCAUAGGAGCUUCCUAAUGUCCCACAGUUCAUCAGCUGCUACACAGUUCUGCCUGCUUGAAGUACUUAUCUUCUCUGUCCCUGCACCCGGCCCUGCCCUUCCUCACAAGGCUUCUUAUUCUUUCUCUCUUUGCCAUUCACAGUGGAGUCCUGCAUUGGCAUCGAGUUUAGACAGAGGUGGAAUGGCACACACCUGGGAACAGGAACCCAGGCCUCUCAUGGGCUUAGUAUGACUGUUGAGGCAUUUGGAACUCACCUGAAGAGAAAUAAACAUAAUAUAUUGACUGGGCUGGGCUGGGCUGGCUGCUGUAGACAAAUGCUGUACUGUUCAGUUUUUACUGAGGUUUUACAUCUGUUCUGUUGAUACCUGGGUACACAGAUUUCUGGAGAUGACUUCUAUCUGGAGUUUUCCUCAUUGCAUUUCCACAUCCUAACAUAUAGCUAGUGCUCAAGUGUAUGGCGAAGUGUCCCUGUCUAGAUGGUCCUAUUCAUCUUUGGGAAUCUAGUUGUUAGCAUAAUGUGGACUUAAAUGUCAUGUGGUGUGCGUCUGCAGUUCCUGGGUAGAGGAGCUGAGGGGCAUUUUAACACAGACAAAGGAGCUUUCUAAAACUAACAUUUCCUUUAAGGGUCACACUAUGAUAUAGGAGUGGUGAUGUUACUUCACUCACUAUUACAACAAAACACAAGACAAAGCAACUUAAGGAGGGGGAGCUCAUUUGGUUUACAGACUGUGUUGGGGAGCAGGGGACAACACUAUGGGCAGGAACAGAACAGUUAGCCAUAUUUCAUCCACAGUCAGGAAACAGAGAGCAAACUAUUUUCUCUGGUGAGGUUCUACCUCCAAGGAUUCCACAAUCUUCUUAAAUAGCACCACCAGCUGUGGGCCAAGUGUUUGAACACAUGAACCUAUGUGAUGAUUUCAUAUUCAAAUCCUAGCAGGAGAGGAGUCAGGGAGAUCAAGGCAUCCUUGAUCUUCAGUUUCCCAGAAUCACACAGAGUGGAAGGAACCGAAUCUACACAAUUAGGGUCAUCCAAAUGUCAAUCAUGCCCAUGAAUAUGACCAAGAGUACCACUCAUUCUGUAAUUACAUGCCCUGGCUUUGAAUUAAUGCCUGUGUUUAAAUAUUUUGUUUAACUUAUUAUGCAAAUACAUGUCCUGGUUUUGAAAAAAAAAGAGUCUUCCCUCAACAUUUCAAAUCAACAUUCCCCCCAACAUACAUUUGGGGGUUUGUAUGCAUGUCUGUCAAGUGUGUAUGGGUACCUAUGGAGGCUGAAGAGAUCAUCGGGAUCCUUGGGCUGGAUUCUCUGGAACAGUAAACAAUAUCUCCUGCCUCUCAAAUCAGUGUUCUUGGUGACUUAGCUUUUGAUGAGUUCUAUCUCCAUUGUGGUAUUUGAUGAGGAAAAGCAACCUCACCUGGGUAUUUCUGUUGAGCUUGCCUUUCCAAGGCCUCAGCAUCUAGAGAAAACAUGACCUCAUGCAUACAGCAUGCAUUAGUGAAAAUUUCCAUAUGCAAAAUGAUGAUUGAUGAUAUAGGACAUUUUUGUCAUAUAUAUGUACACAUAUGCUUCACAUGCCUAGGCCUCAUGUGCCACUAGUUUUUCUAUGUAUAUAUGAUGCUGCAUGUGCUCUUCUAUGGCUUGAAAGCAGUGCUUGACCAAAGGCUCUAAAGUUUAAACCUGGCUCUGCCUUAAACUUUCCCUGGACCACUGACAAAUCAAUCAGGUUUUCUGAACCUUCUUAAUCUAUAUUUGUUGAUGUUAUUAUGGUCUACAGGAUAAGAGAUCUAGAGACUCAAAGUUUUCUUUUGGCUUCUGUCAAGAUUCUUCUAAAGCAAUAGAAAUCAAUUCAACUACUUGAUAGCUAUGAUUACAGCCAUGCACCACCAUGCCUGACUCAUUUGGUGUUUUCUUAAUUGGAGAAUUUUUCAAAUUCUGACAAUUGAUUAAAGAUCAGGCUUAGACUAAAUUGAAAGAUUUGUAUAAGGCAACUUGUAGGUGAAGUUAGAAGUUUUGGUAGUCAAGAUCCAUCAUGCUGAUCAAAAAAGUAGAAAAAGAAUUACCAUAUAACACUGUGAUUCUACUACUGGUAUAUAGCCAUGGAGGAAGAAUUGGUAUUCUGAAGAGAUAGCUGCACCUAGUUUUUACCAUAGCACUGUUUAUAAUAACCAAGACAUGGGAUCAAACUAAAGAUCAAUCGCCAAUUGAACAAAUGAAGAAAAUGUGGCAAAUAUACAAGAUUGACCAUUACCCAGCUGUAAAACAGCUAAAUCAUUCUCCCCCUUUUUUGCACCACAAAUGGAACCAGGUAACAUGAUGCUCAAUGAAAUAAGUUGGAACUUGUAUAGCAAAGGAGAAAAGCACCUCCACAUGCACACAGUGGUGUAUGCAUUCCCACACACAUGCAUGGUACAUAAACAAAGUUGUAUGUGUGAAGCAUUACAAAGAGGUCUUCUAUUUAGUCACAUACCAAAUGAUGUUUUAAUAACAGACCAUGUGUCAGGUUAUAUAUACCAUAUGACAAGGUGUACAGUGGGCAAAACCAUGUAGCUUUGAACACCUACUUGGUAGUGUUCCCACAAUGCUCAGUUCAACUAAUAACUCAUUUCCUCAGAAUGCAUGCCAUCUUUAAGCAAUGUACACUUGUAUUUUAUAUUCAAUUUGAUGAUUUUUUUGCUUUUCUUUCUUAGUGCUUCAUACAGUAAAGUUGUAGCUGAGAGAUGGCAAUAUCCUGUAUUUAGUAGAACAUGCUAGAUUUCUGAUCUUGCAAAAGUAAAUCUUAUUGAGGUAAAUAUCAAUUAGUCUUAUUUAUAAUAUUAACCCUCACUGUAACUAGUCUGGCAGGUUACCACAUUCAAGAAUUGAUUUACUAUGGUUAAAUGUUUUUCUGGAAAAGUACAAGUAGAAUGAAAUCUGAAUGAAGAAAAUAAAUAAAAGAAUGGUAUGCUUGCUCCUAGGUAUGGUGGAGGAGAAAACUUAUUGCUAAUAUGAGGGAGAGUAUAGCCAGAGGCAUCUGGAAAUGUCCUAAGAGAACGUGACCCUGAUCCAGGCUGUAAGAGGUGGCAAGUGAGGGGAGAGGAAGAGAAAGGAACCUGGGUAGCCAAGAGGCCAAGGGGAUAAAAGGCAAAGGGGCAGCUUAGCCAAAAUGUCUGAAUUAUACAGGGAAGAGCAACUGGGAGAAGGAUAGCCCAGUCCCUGGGCUGGAUAGCAGGGAAGGGACUGGUGUGUACCAGCCAGGACACUGUAACAAGUAGGGAUUAAGGGAUGAUGGGAGAACUGGCAGCCAGUGUCAGCUUUGAUGUUAAUAGGCACCACAACUAGCCUUUUGUCCUUGGUUGAGACCUAACAAUAUCCUCCCACUUGAAUUGUUGAAACAGAAAUGUCCCCAUGGUUUCUGGUCUUUGAUAUUUUUGGUACAAGUUAGUGGUGCAAUUUGGGGGAUUUGAGGGAUGUGGUCUUGCUGGAAGAGGUAUGUCACUGGAGGCAUAUUUUUCUGAACAUUGUACAACCUCGCCCCACUUCCAGUUUGCUCUCUCUCUUCUUCAUUCUUUCACUUGAAGAUGUGAUCUGUUAGCUUCUUGCUCCAACCAGCAGGCCUGUGCUUUGCUGGCAUGCUUCCCUUCCAGGAUUGACUCGUAUCUCUUCAGGGCUGUGAACUAGCAUAGGCUCUUCCUUCUAAAAUUUGCUUCUUCACAUAGUGUUGGGUCACAGAAACAGACACAUAACUAAUUCAGUUGGUGUAGAAAACUGUUUUUAAUUUUUGUCUUUAAAGAAUAAAAUCUUGUAUCGCAA